AUGGCGGAUGCAGGAGCAUUCUUUGAUAUAAAAGAUUGUCUUUGCAAUCAGUUUCCAUUUUUGCCUGCUAAAGACUGCAAUUUUAGGUUUUACGGUGCUAAAGUUUCUAUCUUGCAUAACGGAUUAAGUCCAAAGAAUUUCAGUUAAGCACCAGAUUGAAAAUUUUCAAUUCCUUAUUCAGGUCAGUGAAAUAGUCAUUCAGUAAAAUUAGUUUUCCUUUUUGUUCAGUUCUCCUGCAUAUAAUCUUGCAACGAAACAAACUACCCCAUAUCUCUCGUGAACGCCAUUAACAAGUGAAUGUAAAGUCAUAAAUUGAGGCCGCGAAUUAAUAAGACAAUUGCAAAACAUGUCGAUAUUGAGUGUUUCCCUAAAACUCUGUCUUAAAUCAUCUUGUUGUAGAAUUCAACAUGUCGCUGGUUGGAGGUACCUUCGUUGUGCAUAUUUUCCUCGGGCAAGUUUUUUUGUGCUCAGUUCUCGACCUCUGUUUAGUCGCAUUCGGUGAGCUGCUGAUCGACCGAACAAAUAUAAACUUAAACACUACUCAAGUAUUUACGUACAACCAUGUAUAUGUAUAGAUGCUAAUUUCUUUUCGAAUGUGAAUUGCAAAAUAUUUCGCUUCCUUCUUGUUAUGUAUGACCGUGAAACCCGCUUGGGUCGCUAUUGUUUGUGCUGGCGUUUAAGCGUGUGGGAAAGUUUACCGGUGAGGUAAAACCCCAUCGAGAUUUUGCUUUUGGAGUGUGGCUUUAGGGUUUGAACUCAGACAAUGAAGGGCUUUCGAUGAAAGCGAGAAUCUUGGGCGAGAUUUGGCGCAGUCGAACGAUCAUCAACGCCGGAUCAAGGUUAUGGUUGCAUCUCAAAUCCUGCCGCACAAAGGAAUUACCAGUUCUCGUCCUUUAACCCAGACUUUUAACUUGGGUUUAGGGAAGGAGGUUCACAGACUGUAUGCACGAUGACCUCGUUACUUUCAGCUUAGUUUCGAAGGGGGCGUCUCCCAUUUGCUGGGUCCGAAAUGAAAGGAGAUAAGCCAAGAUUUUAUUUCCUUAAAAAAAAAAUAUAUAAAAAAAGACGAAAGUUUUCGAAUUCGGCAUUGAUAUCCGUUUCAGAUGUGAUCAUCAGAUAUAAUUCUUGUUUCCUUUUGAUUUUACUUGCGUCUGUAAUGUUUGUCUACUCUAAAAAACGAUUUUUUCAAGUUUUCUUCAUACUCAAGUGAUAUUUCCUCGGAGGCCUUUCGUUGAUUAUCUCCUCUGAGGUGUUAGAAGAUUAUCUUAAGGUUUCAUGUUAUUCAAAAGAGAUUCUCCUGGAGGUAAAAAUGGUUCUAAAUAUCGUGACGGCGAUCCGUUUUGAAAUUGGCCAUUCUUAAAUUUUUUUGGUUCCUCUAUGGCUGGCAAAAGGUUGAUUCAGGAUGGCGCGUCAUUCAGUCAGAGACGACUCUCUCAGAUUCUGGAAAUGGUUCGAAAUGUCGUGUGGCUGUAACAUUGGGCCGCAACAGCUCAUUUUGGUCUAUAAUCACAAUUAAAUCAUUCCAAACCCUU